UUGAACGCUAGCGGGAUGCUUUACACAUGCAAGUCGAACGGCAGCACGAAAAGCGCUUGCUCUUUUUGGUGGCGAGUGGCGAACGGGUGAGUAAUGUAUCGGAACGUACCCAGUAGCGGGGGAUAACUACGCGAAAGCGUGGCUAAUACCGCAUACGCCCUACGGGGGAAAGGGGGGGAUCGCAAGACCUCUCACUAUUGGAGCGGCCGAUAUCGGAUUAGCUAGUUGGUGGGGUAAAGGCUCACCAAGGCAACGAUCCGUAGCUGGUUUGAGAGGACGACCAGCCACACUGGGACUGAGACACGGCCCAGACUCCUACGGGAGGCAGCAGUGGGGAAUUUUGGACAAUGGGGGAAACCCUGAUCCAGCCAUCCCGCGUGUGCGAUGAAGGCCUUCGGGUUGUAAAGCACUUUUGGCAGGGAAGAAACGGCGCUGACUAAUACUUGGCGCAACUGACGGUACCUGCAGAAUAAGCACCGGCUAACUACGUG
rnacentral:rRNA from 1 species